rnacentral:tRNA from 1 species
GUGGUGGCUCAGUGGUAGAGUACUUGCCUAGCAUGUGGGAGGCACUGGGUUCCAUUCUCAGCACCACA